UGGGGAAUAUUGCACAAUGGAGGGAACUCUGAUGCAGCGACGCCGCGUGAACGAAGAAGGCUUUCGAGUCGUAAAGUUCUUUUAUAUGGGAAGAUAAUGACGGUACCAUAAGAAAAAGCCCCGGCUAACUACGUGCCAGCAGCCGCGGUAAUACGUAGGGGGCUAGCGUUGUCCGGAAUCACUGGGCGUAAAGGGUUCGCAGGCGGAAAUGCAAGUCAGGUGUAAAAGGCAGUAGCUUAACUACUGUAAGCAUUUGAAACUGCAUAUCUUGAGAAGAGUAGAGGUAAGUGGAAUUUUUAGUGUAGCGGUGAAAUGCGUAGAUAUUAAAAAGAAUACCGGUGGCGAAGGCGACUUACUGGACGACAACUGACGCUUAGGCGCGAAAGCGUGGGGAGCAAACAGG
rnacentral:rRNA from 1 species